rnacentral:rRNA from 1 species
AGCGAACGCUGGCGGCAGGCUUAACACAUGCAAGUCGAGCGGGCAUCCUUGUGGUGUCAGCGGCAGACGGGUGAGUAACGCGUGGGAACGUGCCCUUCGGUUCGGAAUAACUCAGGGAAACUUGAGCUAAUACCGGAUACGUGCGAGAGCAGAAAGGUUUAUCUGCCGAAGGAUCGGCCCGCGUCUGAUUAGCUAGUUGGUGAGGUUACGGCUCACCAAGGCGACGACCAGUAGCUGGUCUGAGAGGAUGAUCAGCCACACUGGGACUGAGACACGGCCCAGACUCCUACGGGAGGCAGCAGUGGGGAAUAUUGGACAAUGGGGGCAACCCUGAUCCAGCCAUGCCGCGUGAGUGAUGACGGCCUUAGGGUUGUAAAGCUCUUUUCUCCGGGACGAUAAUGACGGUACCGGAGGAAUAAGCCCCGGCUAACUUCGU